rnacentral:rRNA from 1 species
UACGUAGGGCGCAAGCGUUGUCCGGAAUUAUUGGGCGUAAAGAGCUCGUAGGCGGUCUGUUGCGUCGGAAGUGAAAUCCCGGGGCUUAACCCCGGGCUUGCUUUCGAUACGGGCAGACUAGAGUGUGGUAGGGGAGACUGGAAUUCCUGGUGUAGCGGUGAAAUGCGCAGAUAUCAGGAGGAACACCGGUGGCGAAGGCGGGUCUCUGGGCCACUACUGACGCUGAGGAGCGAAAGCGUGGGGAGCAAACAGGAUUAGAUACCCUGGUAGUCCACGCCGUAAACGUUGGGCGCUAGGUGUGGGGGUCCUUCCACGACCUCCGUGCCGCAGCUAACGCAUUAAGCGCCCCGCCUGGGGAGUACGGCCGCAAGGCUAAA